CAGUCGUACUUAUGGGUAAUCAGCCUUUUGGGCGUGAUUUUGUGGAGCGUGAGGAGUUAAACGCCUUCAUGCCUGCAUAUUCGUGCACUUUGGGUGUACUUGCCCGUGUGUAAGUUAACAUCAAUUUUGGUGGUCUAAGUAAAAUGACUGGAGGAAUGUAGCUUC
rnacentral:rRNA from 1 species